rnacentral:rRNA from 1 species
ACCAUCAGUCGGCGAAAGGAAUCCCUACCAUUCCGGAGCCUGUUGAGACCCGUUUGCGCACCUAGUAGGUUUAGCUCGUCCGCACCCGAACGGUUAGUGUGUAGCUUCAUGCAACAUGAAUCCUUUUCUUCGAGAAGCAACGAGAGGCAUCGGAAGAGUUUUCUUUUUUUACAGCCACACCGACCCAUGGAAGUCACUCACAGAGAGAUAAUGUUGGACCGUCUGUAGAGCACGCCGCCGCAAACUGCCGUGUCCGAUGCACUCUUCUUGACCGUGAAAUCGAAGACUGGGCACACUUAUAUGUAAUAACGCACACUCUCAACAGAUUGUACCGAAUCCGCAGCAGUCUCCAAGGUGCAGAGUCUCUAGUCGAUAGAUCAAUGUAGGUAAGGAAGUCGCAAACUGGAUCCCGUAACUCGGGACAAGAUUGCUCUGAAGGCGGGUGCGACCAGCCGGACCGGUGCUCCACCUGCCGCAAGGUAGCUGGCCCGUGCCCGCGUCCACAGCAAACAGCCAAUUCAGAACUGGCACGGCUGAGGAACCGACUGUCUAAUUAAAACAAAGCAUUGUGAUGCCCGGUGGGUUGACACAAUGUGAUUUCUGCCAUGCUCUGAAUUCAACGUGAAGAAAUUCAAGCAAGCGCGGGUAAACGCGGAGUAAACUAUGACUCUCUUAAGUACCAAAUGCCUCGUCAUCUAAUUACGCGCAUGAAUGGAUUAACGAGAUUCCCUCUUCCCUAUCUACUAUCUAGCGAAACCACAGCCAAGGGAACGGCUUGAUGCACUAGCGGGAAAGAAGACCCUGUUGAGCUUGACUCUAGUCUGGCAUUGUAAGGCGAUAUAGGAGGUGCAGCAUAGGUGGGAGGGCUUCCUCGUGGAGCUCGCCUCUGAGAUACCACCACUCUUACUGUUGCCUUACUUACAUGAUUGGGGAACAAGCGCGGCCCAGUCCGAUCGUGCGCGCACCUCCUCCGGGGCUGUGCGGCGGUUCGCCUGCGCGCCCAAUGCGCCGUGUUUCUCGCUCAGCGUCCAGUGUGUCGCUGGGUGUGCCGCCGGGAGACUGCAUCGUAGCAUCGUCGUGUAGCGUUACCCGCUGUCCGACCGUGAGCCGUGCCCGCAAGGUACAAGCUUGCGUACGUCGGUGCAUUCUGGCACUGCUUCUGCGCGUCGAUCGUUUAUGUCACGUUUGCCCCCGGUCCGCGCGCCGCCCGCUCGAAGACUCCUGGACAGGUCCUUUCGUCCACGUCAGGACAGUGCCAGGUGCGGAGUUGACUGGGCGGUACAUCUCCAAAACGAUAACGGAGGCCAAAGGUCAGCUCAGUGUGGACAGAAACCACACCGAGCAUAAGACAAAAGCUGGCUUGAUCCCAACUUCAGUACACUUCGGGACAGCGAAAGCUUGCCUUACGAUCCUUUUGGUUAUAACGAGUUUUAGCAAAGUUCAGAAAAGUUACCACAGGAUAACUGCUUUGCCGCCAGCGUCAUAGCGACGUGCUUUUGAUCUUCGAUGUCGCUCUUCCUAUCAUUGUGAAGCAAAAUUCACCAAACGUAGAUGUUCACCCUUUCAAGGAACGUGAGCUGGUUUAGACCGUCGUGAGACAGGUUAGUUUUACCCUACUGGUGUGUGCUUAUAGUCGCUAUCUUAACGAAUUCCUGUGCAGUACGAGAGGAACCACAGGUACCACUGCUCAAUACUAGUCCGACCGACUUUGUAUGACGCUACGUCGCGGAUAUGCUGACGCUCUAAGCGUAGCAUCCGAGCUGAUAGCGCUUCUCAAACCAUUAGGUGUCGAAGCUAGGGCCUAACAACCUCUGAGAUCCGUUGGAGUCUGCGUCUCAGCCGGCGUCUCAUCCGCUAUACUAGCCGCAACGAGUGAGUUCGCGCACGUUUAUACCGUACUGGAACGCGUUGCUUGAGCUGCCCAACGUGGUAUACCUAGUUCGACCCUAUCAACGCCCGCAACGACGGACUCAGCUGGAGCUGCGAGUUGUAGAGAGCGUCGCAUCGACCUCUCAGGCGACCAUGCUUGGUUUGUCGUGUGCCCUUCCUCGAUGUCGCAAGCCGUCUGGCUGGGACCACGUCGCACAGGGAUACUUUGUGAGAGCAAGAGGUACUAGUGAGUACAAGGAUCGCUGCCCUUCCUCGAUGCGCAACGAACCAUCUUGGUCUGGGACCGUGG